rnacentral:misc_RNA from 1 species
AAAGUCGUAACAAGGUUUCCGUAGGUGAACCUGCGGAAGGAUCAUUAAUGUGAUUGCCUCUUCCUCCUCAUUUUCUGGGGGGUGAAGCAAGGCAAGCAUUCCAUCCUUGUGUUUUGUACCUCGUGUAUGUUUGGGGGGUCUCCAUGCCCCUCAUUCUUUUUUCCUCAUACACCUAUUUUACAUCUGACCCAUCGUUAUUCACACACACACAUCUUGUGUGUUGUAUUUAACCAUCGAAAACUGCCAGCAAUGGAUCACUCGGUUCUC